rnacentral:rRNA from 1 species
AUUGAACGCUGGUGGCAGGCCUAACACAUGCCAGUCGAACGGUAACAGGAAGAAGCUUGCUUCUUUGCUGACGAGUGGCGGACGGGUGAGUAAUGUCUGGGAAACUGCCUGAUGGAGGGGGAUAACUACUGGAAACGGUAGCUAAUACCGCAUAACGUCGCAAGACCAAAGAGGGGGACCUUCGGGCCUCUUGCCAUCGGAUGUGCCCAGAUGGGAUUAGCUUGUUGGUGGGGUAACGGCUCACCAAGGCGACGAUCCCUAGCUGGUCUGAGAGGAUGACCAGCCACACUGGAACUGAGACACGGUCCAGACUCCUACGGGAGGCAGCAGUGGGGAAUAUUGCACAAUGGGCGCAAGCCUGAUGCAGCCAUGCCGCGUGUAUGAAGAAGGCCUUCGGGUUGUAAAGUACUUUCAGCGGGGAGGAAGGGAGUAAAGUUAAUACCUUUGCUCAUUGACGUUACCCGCAGAAGAAGCACCGGCUAACUCCGUG